rnacentral:rRNA from 1 species
AUUGAAAGCUGGCGGAAUGCUUUACACAUGCAAGUCGAACGGCAGCACGGACUUCGGUCUGGUGGCGAGUGGCGAACGGGUGAGUAAUGUAUCGGAACGUGCACAGUCGAGGGGGAUAACGUAGUGAAAAUUACGCUAAUACCGCCUACGAACUAUGAAUGAAAGCGGGGGAUCGCAAGACCGCGCGCGAUUCGAGCGGACGACAUCAGAUUAGGUAGUUGGUGGGGUAAAGGCCCACCAAGCUAACGAUCUGUAGCUGGUCUGAGAGGACGACCAGCCACACUGGAACUGAGACACGGUCCAGACUCCUACGGGAGGCAGCAGUGGGGAAUUUUGGACAAUGGGCGAAAGCCUGAUCCAGCCAUUCCGCGUGCAGGAUGAAGGCCCUCAGGUUGUAAACUGCUUUUGUACAGAACGAAAAGGUUUCUACUAAUACUAGGAGCUCAUGACGGUACUGUAAGAAUAAGCACCGGCUAACUACGUGCCAGCCGCCGCAGUAA